rfam:Arabidopsis thaliana chloroplast DNA, complete genome, ecotype: Columbia.
UCGAGCCGGAUGAUAAAAAAUUAUCAUGUCCGGUUCCCUCGGGGGAUGGAUCCAUAAGAAUUCACCUAUCCCAAU